GACGAACGCUGGCGGCGUGCUUAACACAUGCGAGUCGAACGGAAAGGCCCUGCUUUUGUGGGGUGCUCGAGUGGCGAACGGGUGAGUAACACGUGAGUAACCUGCCCUUGACUUUGGGAUAACUUCAGGAAACUGGGGCUAAUACCGGAUAGGAGCUCCUGCUGCAUGGUGGGGGUUGGAAAGUUUCGGCGGUUGGGGAUGGACUCGCGGCUUAUCAGCUUGUUGGUGGGGUAGUGGCUUACCAAGGCUUUGACGGGUAGCCGGCCUGAGAGGGUGACCGGCCACAUUGGGACUGAGAUACGGCCCAGACUCCAACGGGAGGCAGCAGUGGGGAAUAUUGCACAAUGGGCGGAAGCCUGAUGCAGCAACGCCGCGUGCGGGAUGACGGCCUUCGGGUUGUAAACCGCUUUCGCCUGUGACGAAGCGUGAGUGACGGUAAUGGGUAAAGAAGCGCCGGCUAACUACGUG
rnacentral:rRNA from 1 species